GCUUGAAUAGCUAAGUCAGUAAAGCAUGAGACUCUUAAACUCAGGGUCGUCGUUCGAACUCCACAUUGGGCA